rnacentral:rRNA from 1 species
AUACGGAGGGUGCAAGCGUUACUCGGAAUCACUGGGCGUAAAGCGCGCGCAGGCGGCUUGAUAAGUUGGAUGUGAAAGCCUACGGCUCAACCGUAGAACUGCAUCCAAAACUGUCAGUCUAGAGUCUGGGAGGGGAAGAUGGAAUUAGUUGUGUAGGGGUAAAAUCCGUAGAGAUAACUAGGAAUACCAAAAGCGAAGGCGAUCUUCUGGAACAGUACUGACGCUGAGGCGCGAAAGCGUGGGGAGCAAACAGGAUUAGAUACCCUAGUAGUCC